rnacentral:tRNA from 1 species
ACGAGUAUAAGUUAAUGGUAAACUAUUCGUCUUCCAAACGAAACUUGCUGGUUCGAAUCCAGCUAUUCGUA